ensembl:lncRNA
AUGGAUUCAGUACUCACAACUGUGGUUGUGGGAAUUUCAGUAGUUGAGGAUGCUGUAGUUACUGAUUUUGUUAGAGGUGUAGUUGUUUCUGAAGAUGUAGCUAUAACUGUUGAAGUAGGAGUUGUAGAUUCAGAAGUUACAAAUGUUGAUGUUGUUGGAUUGUUCGUUUUUGUAGGUGUGGUUGAUGAAGCUGUAGUCAUGGUUUCAGCUGUUGUACUCUUCAAAGUUGUGGGCAACACUGUUGAAGUAAUAGGUGUGGUUUCUGUACUCACAGCUGUGGUUGUGGAAAUUUUGAUAGUUGAGGAUGCUUUAGUUACUGAAGUUGUUACAGGUGCAGUUGUUUCUGAAGAUGUAGGCAAUGUUGUUGAAGUGAGAGCUGUGGAUGCUGAAGUUACAGCUUUUGAUGUUGGAUUAUUUGUUGUCGUAGAUAUCGCUGAUGAAGCUGUAGUCAUGGUUUCAGCUGUUGUACUCUUCGAAGUUGUGGGCAACACUGUUGAAGGAAUAGGUGUGGUUUCUGUACUCAUAACUGUGGUGGUGGGAAUUUCAGCAGUUGAGGAUGCUUUAGUUGCUGAAGUUGUUACAGUUGCACUUGUUUCUGAAGAUGUAGGCACUGUUGUUGAAGUGAAAGUAGUGGAUACUGAAGGUACAACUGUUGAUGCUGUUGGAAUGUUUGUUGGUGUAGGUGUGGUUGAUGAAGCUGUAGUCAUGGUUUCUGCUGUUGUACUCUCCGAAGUUGUAGGCACCACUGUGGAAGUAAUAGGUGUGGUUUCUUUACUCACAACCGUGCUUGUGGGAAUUUCAGCAGCUGAGGAUGCUGUAGUUACUGAAGUUGUUACAGGUGCAGUGGUUUCUGAAGAUGUAGGCACUGUUGUUGAAGUGAAAGUUGUGGAUUCUGAAGUUACAGUUUUUGAUGUUGGAUUGUUUGUUGUUGUAGAAGUUGUUGAUGAUGCUGUAGUCGUGGUUUCUGGGGUUGUACUUUCUGAAGUGGAAUGCACCACUGUUGAAGUAAUAGAUGUGGUUUCUGUACUCACAACUGUGCUUGUGGGAAUUUCAGAAGUUAAGGAUGCUGUAGUUACUGAAGUUGUUACUGGUGCAGUUGUUUCUGAGGAUGUAGGUAUUGUUGUUGAAGUGGGUGUUGAGGUUUCAGAAGGUAUAGCUGUUGAUGUUGUUGGGAUGUUUGUUGUUGUAGGUGUGGUUUAUGAAGCUGUAGUCGUGGCUUCUGCUGUUGUACUCUCUGAAGUUGUGGGCACCACUGUUGACGUAAUAGGUGUGGUUUCUUUACUCACAGCUGUGGUUGUGGAAAUUUCGAUAGUUGAGGAUGCUUUAGUUACUGAUGUUGUUACAGGUGCAGUGGUUUCUGAAGAUGUAGCUAUAACUGUUGAAGUAGGAGUUGUAGAUUCAGAAGUUACAAAUGUUGAUGUUGUUGGAUUGUUUGUUGUAAGUGGGGUUGAUGAUGCUGUAGUCGUGGUUUCUGCUGUUGUACUCUCUGAAGUUGUAGGCAACACUGUUGAAGGAAUAGGUGUGGUUUCUUUACUCACAACUGUGCUUGUGGGGAUUUCAGAUGUUAAGGAUGCUGUAGUUACUGAAGUUGUUACACGUGCAGUUGUUUCUGAGGAUGUAGGGUCUAUUGUUGAAGUGAGAGCUGUGGAUGCUGAAGUUACAGCUUUUGAUGUUGGAUUAUUUGUUGUCGUAGAUAUCGCUGAUGAAGCUGUAGUUAUGGUUUCAGCUGUUGUACUCUUCAAAGUUGUGGGCAACACUGUUGAAGGAAUAGGUGUGGUUUCUGUACUCACCGCUGUGGUUGUGGAAAUUUUGAUAGUUGAGGAGGCUUUAGUUACUGAAGUUGUUACUGGUGCAGUUGUUUCUGAUGAUGUAGGCACUGUUGUUGUAGAGAGAGUUGUGGAUUCUGAAGUUACAGUUUUUGAUGUUGGAUUGUUUGUUGUUGUAGAAAUUGUUGAUGAAGCUGUAGAUGUGGUUUCUGUACUCACAACUGUGCUUGUGGGGAUUUCAGAUGUUAAGGAUGCUGUAGUUACUGAAGUUGUUACACGUGCAGUUGUUUCUGAGGAUGUAGGGACUGUUGUUGAAGUGAAAGUAGUGGAUACUGAAGGUACAACUGUUGAUGUUGUUGGAUUGUUUGUUGUUGUAGAAAUUGUUGAUGAAGCUGUGGUCGUGGUUCUUGCUGUUGUACUCUCUGAAGUUGUAGGCAACACUGUUGAAGUAAUAGGUGUGGUGUCUGUACUCACAGCUGUGGUUGUGGAAAUUUUGGAAGUUGAGGAUGCUGUAGUUACUGAUUUUGUUAGAGGUGUAGUUGUUUCUGAAGAUGUAGGGACUGUUGUUGAAGUGCGAGCUGUGGAUGCUGAAGUUACAGCUUUUGAUGUUGGAUUGUUUGUUGUAAGUGUGGUUGAUGAAGCUGUGGUCGUGGUUCUUGCUGUUGUACUCUCUGAAGUUGUAGGCAACACUGUUGAAGUAAUAGGUGUGGUUUCUGUACUCACAACUGUGCUUGUGGGGAUUUCAGAUGUUAAGGAUGCUGUAGUUACUGAAGUUGUUACACGUGCAGUUGUUUCUGAAGAGGUAGGGACUGUUGUGGAAGUGAAAGUUGUGGAUUCUGAAGGUACAACUGUUGAUGUUGUUGGAUUGUUUGUUGUAAGUGCGGUUGAUGAAGCUGUAGAUGUGGUUUCUGUACUCACCGCUGUGGUUGUGGAAAUUUUGAUAGUUGAGGAGGCUUUAGUUACUGAAGUUGUUACACGUGCAGUUGUUUCUGAAGAUGUAGGGACUGUUGUUGAAGUGAAAGUUGUGGAUUCUGAAGGUACAACUGUUGAUGUUGUUGGAAUGUUUGUUGUUGUAGGUGUGGUUGAUGAAGCUGUAGUCGUGGUUUCUGGUGUUGUACUUUCUGAAGUUGAAUGCACCACUGUUGAAGUAAUAGGUGUGGUUUCUGUACUCAUAACUGUGGUUGUGGGAAUUUCAGCAGUUGAGGAUGCUGUAGUUACUAAAAUUGUUACAGGUGCAGUUGUUUCUAAGGAUGUAGGCACUAUUGUUGAAGUGAGAGUUGAGGAUUCUGAAGUUACAGGUUUUGAUGUUGGAUUGAUUGUUGUUGUAGAUAUCGUUGAUGAAACAGUAGUCAUGGUUUCUGCUGUUGUACUCUUUGAAGUAGUGGGCACCGCUGUUGAAAUAAUUGGUGUGGUUUCUGUACUCAAAGCAGUGGUUGUCUGA